GUUGUUAAAGAAAACGUAAGAGCGAGAAUUAUGUGAUUAGAAUGAGAGGUACAUUUUGUUUAUUUAUAAGUGGAAGUAGAAGAACUGCGAAAUAUUCGGUAUCUCAAGCUAUACGCUCUUCACACGGAAGAAGCGGCACCACCGCGUGUUCCAACAAUGUCGUCAGCUGAUGCCUGGUCCACCACCUCGUCAACUCGCCUUCUGUCGUCCUUAUUUCGUACAUGAGACAAGCCGAUCAAGAUAUAUAGUUUGGAAGGCCGCCAGCCAGCGCCCACCAGCGGCCCCAGUGCGCCUUGUGCCUUCACUUGCGGCGUCCCCUCUCCCCUAUCCUCCUCAAAGUCCUUCAGCAUGUCAGUGCUGUCCAUCCUGAGACGCGGGGAUUUAGCAGACUGGGUCCCUGGUUAGGCUGGUGGGUCCCUCAUGACGACUGAGAGGGACUAGAGUGCAGGCCUUUGUACCCUUCCCGCGAGGCAUGUCAUUCCUGCAAGGUAGGGGAGGAACAGAGGGGACUGCUUCUCCUUGGAUUAUCUUAUUUAUUCAUUCAUUCAUUUUUACUAUUUUUUUUUAUAUUACUUGUCUCUUUCCCUCUAGAAUAUGCAGGAAAAGACAAUUUCUAUAGGAAUGCUGUGAUUGUUCUGCCACUCUUGUUUGAUUUAUACUUUUUCUAUAACAGGAGGAGUAUGGAAGAGUAUG